rnacentral:lncRNA from 1 species
CAAGUACAAACUCAGGAACCUCUUCGACUGCCACGCCCUUCACCAACAGAAGGAAGACAGUGGCGCCACCACAAGUGGCAGGGCACAGGGGCUUCUGUGACAACAAUAUGUCCUUCUAGUAUACAUUCAUUGCAAAGGCUGCCCUGAAGUUUCGUUUUUGGAAAUAACUGUUAUCAUACAUUUUGUAUGAUGUUGCUUGUGGGCACCAUGAAGAGAGCCUGGCUGUAAAGGACAGAGGGAGCUAAACCAACAAUGCAUGGCCCUGCGUGCCCACAAGAGGGAGCCACCUGCCCGGGAUGCAGCAGGCCUCCUGCCCUGUCCUCUCAGCACCCCUGAGCCCUGCACUCAAACCCCACCUCCGAGACAGAGCACUCCAGCAGGGCAGGCAUCCCAAACAGGGGAGAGACCCUCCACUCGGACUAGCCUGGGGCACACCCUGAGGCACCAGACUGGAGAUUCCUGGUGGGCCCACGGUUUAGCCAGAGAGCAUGAGGCAGCUGUGCCAGGGAGGCCCCACCACCACCAAGUGGGACACAAGUGUCUCCUAAGACACCCACAGGGGGACGGCCUGAGGAGCAGGGAGCAGAGGAAACCUGUCCCGUGACAUUCCUGGGGGCUGGCAGGAAGACCUUCAGGAGGCCACAGGGCCAGGUCCACCUGGCCCCGGGCUGUGAGCCGCAAUCGGGGCAGGACUCCUGAUGGGACACGUCAGAAGAGAUCCUGGAAAGCACCAUGUGAGACGCCUUGUGGCACUCAAGAAGAAUGAAGUUGGAUUCUGGGGACUCUACAUACUCAAGAUCUUCCCAGAGGAAUACGCCACGCAUGGAUGGCUCUCAGCUGCCAGGGAGAAAGGGGAAGUGGGCCGGGCAGGGCUCCCCUCUCUAGCUCAUGUGUUUCUGUGAGGUCACGUUUCUCCACAAGAGCACGUGCUAGCUUCAUAAGUAGAAAAGAGGAAGAAAGAAUUGUGAACGAACACCGAUAUUUAGUGGAACCCUUUCUAAGGGGAUACUGAUGUGAUCUUUCCGUUGUCUAAACUCAACACUUCACAAGCAGGUUUCCUACAAGAAGGAAGGAUCCUCUUCCAGAGAAUGGCGCGUGACGUGUCCCUCCCUGGAGGUUGUGACCGUCCUCAGGGGGCCUCCCGGCUCUCCGGUGCUGCAGCUGGCUCUUGCCCAGCCUCCUAUCACUGUCCUUUCCCCCUCCCCUGGAAAUCAACUUUUAUGUGAUCUCCAUUUCAGGAAAGCUGAGAAAGAACUGAGGGUAACACAUGUAAUCUGAGACCCAGUACUGUGGAUUCCAAACAGCCCCAUGGAGGAGCCUCCAGCUCACCGUGCUCUCCCGGGCACCUCCCUGGUGCAGGUUCAGAAAGACACGGACCACAGCCCCUGGAGGGACAGUGCCUGCUCUCCACCCAUCUCCAGAACCCAGGGAAACAGGCAAUUUCACAGAUGAGUCUUCCUUUUUCAGUCAAGAUAAAUGUUAAGGGCCAUGUAUGGUGGCACAUGCCUGUGGUCCCAGCUACUCAGGAGGCUAAGGCAGGAGGAUCGCUUAAGCCCAGGUGGUGAAGGCUGCAGUGAGCUAUGAUCACACCGCUGCACUCCAGCCUAGGUGACAGAGCAAGACUCUGUUUCUAAAAGGAUAAAUACAUACAUAAUAAAAUAAAGUUAAAUUAAAAAGAGACAUAUAAGGAAGUAAAACUGAGGCCAAGCACAGUGGCUCACGCCUGUAAUCCCAACACUUUGCAAGGCUGAGGAGAGAAUCACUCGAGCCUAGGAGUUCAAGACCAGUCUGGGCAACAAAGUGAGACCCUGUCUCUACAAAAAAUUUUACAAUUAGCUGGGCACGGUGGUGCAUUCCUGUAACUGCAGCUACUUGGGAGGCUGAGGUAAGAGGAUCACUUGAGCCCAGGAAGUCGAGGCUGCAGUGAGCUAUGAUCAUGCCACUGCACUCAAGCCUGGGCGACAGAGCAAGACUCUGUCUCAAAAAACAGGUAAAGCUGAGAAAAGAGGAGGCCUGUUCUUUCACUGGGUGGUUGUAAGCAGCCAUGCAGAAUGCCCAAGGUUUUCCAAAGAGUUUCUUCUUUCUGAAAGGAUCUGAGUCCCCAAAACUUUGGGGACUAGUCUCAUGGUUGAAGGCAUUUUUCAUGAGGGCAUAAUCCUUUUAUAAAAAAAUUAUUUCAUAAAACCUGCAAUUUAAAAAAUCUAAAGUGUAAGGGCAGCAAAAGUUAACAUUAAUUAAAACAAUAUGUUGGGAAUAUGGGUAAGCUAUAUUUCAUGUUUUUCUUUGCAUUGUGAAAUAUUUCCUAUGUGUAAAAAAGAGAAAAAAGGAAAAUAAACCUCACCUACGGUUUCUUCACAAAGGUCAGGCAAGAAAGAAUUAUUCAGGAACUCACCCAGGCCCUCCAGAGUGAGGUGCCCCCAGGGCUCCCUGGAAUGGCCCUAGCACGCACACGGCGGCCACCUUGGCGACCACAGUGGCGGCACGGGACUCUGUCUCUUUAGAGGCCCAGAUGGAGACAGUGCACCCCGAGUUGCUCAGGCCUCCCCUGAACCUGUUACAACCUUCACUAAAUCCACAACCACACACGGCUUCAUGGGUCCCACGUCAGCAAAACGUCCCAUGUCAGCUGCUUUCGACCUUCAUUUCUUUGCUUUCAGAGGAAAAAACACCCCAAAGACAGGUAACAAGUGUGACUUGACAGUACUGCGACAAUACUCCUGUUUGUGAAACUCGGAACACAAGAAUCUGGAGGCUGUGUCUCCAGCAAAUGUCCAGAGCGUACUGUUUUAUGUAUUCAAAAAAACAAAACAGAGAAAUAAGAAGAGGUCAAUAAAUGUCCCCAAAAACCCUGGAGAGAUACUAACUUUCAAUCUAAGAAAAAGAACAGCUUCCCAGGGCCCUGCCAGUGAGACACAAGGACACAGAAUGUAACUUGCUGAUGCCAGGUUAAAAUGAAAUUAACUACAUCAGAAAAAACCUCCGCAGACCAUCAAGAGAUGUGUCUAACGUUCUCAUCUACAAAACCAGGUUAAAUAUUUAGCCACACUCAUCACGUCAUCUGCUUGGGGGGUACCCAGCCCCCAAAGACUCAAGUGGCCUUCACAACAGGUGACACCCCUCAAGGGGCCUGAGACCUCCUGCCUGGAAGGACACCAGCCUUGCUUGGAGUCUCCGGCAAGCCCUGAGGAAGGUGAGCCUCCCCAAGGAAAUCACGUACGUUUGACACACAGCAGCAGCAAAUACUCACCGUGGAAAAAGAGCCUUCCCCAAGAAUUUUCCCAAACUUGAAGUCCUCAGGCCGCUUCUUCCGAGGCUGCGGCGGAGGCUGGGCAUGCUGCAGGGAGCCGGCGCCGGGCCGAGGCUCGGCUGCAGUGCCGUCCAUGGCGGGGCCCUGCCUGCUGCCACCAGGAAUGCCAGGGGGCGUGCUGGACUCAGUCUGGGUCCUCACCAUUGAUGGGGAUGGGCAGGAACAUAACACCACGCUGGACUGGAUGGGCACGGCGUCAUACUAGGCGACAAAGAGGAAAAGGAAGUAAGGCUCAAGGCAGCUGCCUUGCUCUCAAUGCACGGACUAAGGUUUAAGGACCUCAUUUCAACGCUCAAAAACAAACCCCAAGCACAGGGCAGGCCAGCUGAGCCCCGCGGUCUGCUGUGAGCUGCCGGCCUCCUCUCCUGAGUCCUGCCCGUGCCAUGGCUCCCCGCUAAUCCACCAGGCAGCGCCUCGCCCUCCUCCUGUCCCUCGCGCUGCCUGAGCCUCCAGCCAACUCAUCCCAAGGCCAAGGUAACCUGAGCAGAGAUAGCACGGCACAUCUUUAAUUGUGGGGGGGAUGGAGAGAUAAGAGUGAUGAUCGCAUGUGUUUACAAUACACAGAGACGCCCAGUGCUGGCAAGACUAUAAUAAAGCGAGCGUACUCACACCACUGCGGCUGGCACCAAAAACCGGGAUUGCAGUGGAAAUGUUUUUGGAAAGCAGUUUGGCAACUGUCAACAAAGCGACUACAGAACAGUUGUCAAUGAGACACAGAAAUACGAAGGAGAGGAGGGAGGGCAGAAACCCAGUUAACAAUGUAAGCGGGCACGGAGGGAAGAUCAGCGUGCAAAGCUAGGUCGGCAAGACGUGCAAGGUGCACCCACAGCCAUAACAAUCCCUCCCCAGACCCCAACGUGUCCUCACGGUGGUGGCAGUGGCCCCCCGCACUACAGAAGAACAAUGCGAGGCGAGCUCAGGCGCGCUGAUGGUGGUUUCCGAUACAACUCCCCACUCAAAGAACCCCGGAGAGCUCUUGAUUCCAUCUCUCAGUAGGGUCCUGAAGUCCAUGCUGUCUGAAGACACAGGGUCUCCCCCUGCGUCUGUGCCAGGACAGAGGGACUGCCACCAGCCAAGCUGCAAUCCUUUUAAACGCUAAAAACGGCCGGGCUUGGUGGCUCAUGCCUGUAGUCCCAGCAGUUUGGGUGGAUGAGGCGGGUGGAUCCCCUGUGGUCGGGAGUUCAAGAUCAGCCUGACCAACACGAAUAAACCCCUUCUCUACUAAAAAUACAAAAUUAGGCCGGGCACAGUGGCUCAGGCCUGUAAUCCCAGCACUUUGGGAGGCAGAGGCGGGAGGAUCACCUGAGGUCAGGAGUUCGAGACCAGCCUGACCACAUGGAGAAAUCCCGUCUCUACUAAAAAUACAAAAAAACUAGCCGGGCUUGUUGGCGCAUGCCUGUAAUGCCAGCUACUUGGGAGGCUGAGGCAGGAGAAUCGCUUCAACCUGCAAGGCAGAGGUUGCAGUGAGCUGAUAGCAUGCCAUUGCACUCCAGCCUAGGCAACAAGAGUGAAAUUUCGUCUCAAAAAAAAAAAAAAAAAAAAAUAGGCCGGGCGCAGAGGCCAAAGUGGGUGGAUCACUUCAGCCCAUGAGUUCAAGACCAGCCUGGGCAAACACAGCAAAACCCCACCUCUACUAAAAAUAUAAAAAUUAACCAGGUACGGUGGCAUGUGCCUGUCGUCGCAGUUAAUUGGGAGGCUGAGGUAGGAGGAUUACCUAAGCCCGGGGAGGUCGAGGCUGCAAUGAGCCAAGAUCACAUCACUGCACUCCAGCCUGGACGACAGAGGGAGAUCCUGCCUCAAAAAUAAAAAAUAAUAAGUAAAUAAAUAAAAAGAAUAUAUUCACUAUUUUGCUUAUCAAAGUCUCUUAAAGGAGGUGACUUACCUACGCUAUGGACCCAAUUACUCAGCCAAUAAGAGGACACGGUCCCUGCCCAUAGAAAGCUGAUGUCCAGCCUGACCUCAAUACAAAACCAUCCAGUUAAAGUGGUGGGGGUGGCUAUGCAGAGACGGGCGGGUGCCGGGAGAGUCAAGGGCAGCCCCUUGGCUGGCCAGGGGCUCAGACAGACCAGCUGGGGAGAUGCAUCACUCGCCCAGGAAAACUGAUGACAGCUUAGAUGGCACUGCAAGAGCAGGGAGGAUCACACUCAUGUCCAGAAAGUGAAACAUAAAACAGCUAAACAUGUACCACACAGCUUUCAUACAAAAAUUUUAUAUACACAAAUUUUGAAAAAAUAGAGAUGGGGUUUUGCUUGUUGUCCCGGCUGGUUUCGAACUCCUGAACUCAAGUGAUCUGCCUGCCUCAGCUUCCCAAAGUGAUGCAAUUACAGGCAUGUGCCACCAUGCCUGGUGACUUUUUUUCUGUUUUGAGACGGGGUCUCACUCUGUCUCCCAGGCUGGAGCUCAGUGGCAUGAUCAUAGCUCACUGCAGUCUCGACCUCCUAGGCUCAAGUGAUCCUCCCACCUCAGCCUCCUGAGUAGUGGGACCACAGGUGUGCACCACCGUGUCCAGCUAAUUUUUGUAGAGAUGGGGUCUCAUCAUGCUGCCCAGGCUGGUCUCAAACUCCAGGGCUCGAGUGAUCCGCCAUCCUUGGCCUCCCAAAGUGCUGGAUUACAGACCUGAGCCACCACACCAGGCUGCCCCACACAUUGUAAAGUUUCGCUUCCCUCUAAUGUCAGAUUCCAAAGACAGCAGCCUUCAUGAGUCAGAAAGAAACAUCGGUCAUUUUGAAAUCAACAUCCAACUGAAGUGUAGAAAGGCCUCUGGAUUUUUGAAACGGCAACAACAGAUGAUGUAAUACAAAGACGCCCCCACCCCACUGCUUUCCCACUGCAUGCUUUACAUGACAUGGCACAGCUUCCACGCCAGCAGCUUCAAUCAUGUAAAGCGAAUGCAGUCCCAUCAAGACCACAGCAUUGGCUGAGCAGCUACUCCAUGCUGGGCACCGUCCUGGGCACUGGAAGUACAGCAGAGAACGAAACCAAGACCACACCCUCCAGAAGCCUGCAUUCCAGCAGGACAGACAGACUUCCAUACACAGAGCAGGAAAAUGCACAGCGUGUCAGAUGAUGAUGAUUACUAUGAGAAAAAUAAAGCAGGCAAAGAGAACAGGACUAUUUGGAUGAGGGUGGUGCAAAUUCAAAUAAUCAGACAGCCUUUGCUGGGAAGGUGAUAUCUGAGCAAAGAUUCGAGAAGGUGGGGAGAGCCCCGGAGCCUUCCCCGCAGAGCAGAGGAGGCCCGGGAAGCUCUGGACUCAUAGCGGUUCAGCACGGCCACGACACGGCCACUUCCAGACAGAGCCCCUGGCUGCUGGGUAGGGACCGCAGCACCUCAGAGAACCCUUUCUGGGGUCACUUCUGGCACCCUCUGCAAACCUCAAGGGGGAGCGUGAGGCUGGGGGCUGUCCAUCAGGGUCCAGGCACCUCCUGAAGGAACCUCUCAAAGCCAGCCGAUCACCGGCUCCAGACCCACGCUGUCAGACAUCUCUGUGGCCACCAGACCACUGCCACUCUCACGGGUGUGAUGACAUGGGACCUGCCUACUGGUAGUCUUCUGCCUUCGUGGAAUUCUGCAACUUCCUUCCUGCCUCGGCCACAGCAUGUCAGCCAAGCACCUGUCAGGGUCCCUCCCUGGCAGGACGAUGUUUAGAAGCUCAACACCGUGCUCCUGCCUCCUCUUCAGACCCAUCAGAACUUGCUACCAUGGGUGUGUUUUAAUAAAUAACUUCAUUUCUGCAGCAAAUAAAUAAAUAAAUAAAUGUAGUUGCAAUAUUGCCUUUAAAAGCACUUUUAAGCAUCAAUUGUGAAAUAAAAAGCCCGAGCAAAAGCCCUCUUUGAGCGUGAA